rnacentral:rRNA from 1 species
UACGAAGGGGGCUAGCGUUGUUCGGAAUUACUGGGCGUAAAGCGCGCGCAGGCGGUUCUCCAAGUCAGUGGUGAAAGCCCGGAGCUCAACUCCGGAAUUGCCAUUGAAACUGCAGAACUUGAGGACGAGAGAGGUGAGUGGAAUUCCCAGUGUAGAGGUGAAAUUCGUAGAUAUUGGGAAGAACACCGGUGGCGAAGGCGGCUCACUGGCUCGUUUCUGACGCUCAGGCGCGACAGCGUGGGGAUCAAACAGG